UCUGGUAUUGAGGACACACUUGUCCUCGCUGAGAACAUUUUUCAGUUAUGAGAACGUGUACUCAAAAUAACCUGAGCCAGA